rnacentral:tRNA from 1 species
GGGCCGCUGGUCUAGUGGUAUGAUUCUCGCUUAGGGAUAAUGCGAGAGGUCCCGGGUUCGAUCCCCGGGUGGCCCC